rnacentral:rRNA from 1 species
GACGAACGCUGGCGGCGUGCUUAACACAUGCAAGUCGAACGGAAAGGCCUGCUUUCCCUUGUGGAUUGCGGGUACUCGAGUGGCGAACGGGUGAGUAACACGUGAGUGAUCUGCCCCCAACUUGGGUAUAAGCCUGGGAAACUGGGUCUAAUUCCCGAUAGGACUGCAGGGUGGUGCCUGUGGUGGAAAACGAUUUUCUAGUGGUUGGGGAUGAGCUCGCGGCCUAUCAGCUUGUUGGUGGGGUAAUGGUCUACCAAGGCGGCGACGGGUAGCCGGCCUGAGAGGGUGGACGGCCACAUUGGGACUGAGAUACGGCCCAGACUCCUACGGGAGGCAGCAGUGGGGAAUAUUGCACAAUGGGCGGAAGCCUGAUGCAGCGACGCCGCGUGGGGGAUGACGGCCUUCGGGUUGUAAACUCCUUUCGACCGCGAGGAAGCCACCUGGUUGGAAGGGUGGUGACGGUAGUGGUAGAAGAAGCACCGGCUAACUACGUG